rnacentral:rRNA from 1 species
GCAGUAGAACGCUGAAGACUUUAGCUUGCUAAAGUUGGAAGAGUUGCGAACGGGUGAGUAACGCGUAGGUAACCUGCCUACUAGCGGGGGAUAACUAUUGGAAACGAUAGCUAAUACCGCAUAACAGCAUUUAACUCAUGUUAGAUGCUUGAAAGGAGCAAUUGCUUCACUAGUAGAUGGACCUGCGUUGUAUUAGCUAGUUGGUGAGGUAACGGCUCACCAAGGCGACGAUACAUAGCCGACCUGAGAGGGUGAUCGGCCACACUGGGACUGAGACACGGCCCAGACUCCUACGGGAGGCAGCAGUAGGGAAUCUUCGGCAAUGGGGGCAACCCUGACCGAGCAACGCCGCGUGAGUGAAGAAGGUUUUCGGAUCGUAAAGCUCUGUUGUAAGAGAAGAACGUGUGUGAGAGUG